CUGUGAAGUGCUAAAACGCUCCUCUCUCUGCUUUAUUGGAGGCUGGAGACCAAAACCAGUUGGAAAUUCAAAAUGAAAACUUCUCCCUCAUUGAAUUGGUCGUCCCCUGGGGUGACUGCACACCCUGGGUGUGUACACACACCCCGGGGCUCCCAGAGAGCCACCAGUGGCUUCAGUGACAGAGACGGGUGGAGAAGGAUCUGGUGUUGAGAGGUUUGGUCUGGUGGAGUUUCUUUUAUUACAAAGAACUGAAACUCUCAUCUGGAACAGGAUGUCCUGACAGGUAGAGCAAUGUGUGCUACAAACUUGGAGCUGGUGUUUGCUGAAUGCUGAGAUGGCUCAGCGUGGAUGUGUUAUCAGCACGCCCUUGCUCAGAGUUGGAGACUGUAGGAAUGGUCACUCUAUUCUCACUGAACCCUUGGCAUGUGUCUUAUUUUUUGCUGUCAGUCUUGCUUCUGUUUGCUCUGGAUGAGCCCUGUACCUACUGUUUUUCAGAGAAGUCACCGUGUCCUGGUGAACUGGAGCAGAAUCCUGCUGCAGUGAGUUGCAAGGUGGAGUACACAGCACAGUUCUCCUCUGGCUGGUCUUUGUCCCUGAAGCCCACAUUGAUGGGAGCAUCCAGGAGAUAAGAAAAUGAUUUGCCCUGUGCAGGCUAGUGUUGAAGGGCUCAGAGGAAGCAGCCAGUGCCCAGGAGAGCAGAAAGGAUGGAGGUAGUGACAUCCUGCACUUUGGAGCUGCCCUGGGGAACAGCGAGCUGUGGAUCUGCUGGACCUGCAGCCCCUCCGAGGAUACUGAGCUGAGAGCCUGUGGAUUGGAGCACUGAACUCUACACCCAGAAACCUGAUCAUGAGUGAUCAGCCCAAGAGUGCUGUGAACUCAGGAAUUCCUCCAUGUGGAUGCUGAAGGACAAACUGUCUCUAAGCAGGUGAGUUGUGGAGUCUGAUGCCUGUUUUUACUCAUUUUUUGCAAAGUUGCAUCUGAGGGCACGUCUUGCUUAUAAACAGCUCGCUGCUGUCACCAAGUGGAAAAAGCAAAUCCCAGAAAAUCGCACGUGAGCCAGGCUGGAACUCACCAGAGCCCACCAGGGCACCAUUACCUUUCUGUGUGAUAAGGUCACCACUUUGGAUUUGCAGCAUCCCACUGGCUGCUGUGACAGCAAGCACAGCAGGCUGGCAAAUUCAUGGAUUUUUGUUUUUUUAAUUAAUUGCUAAAAGUGGAACUUUUCAGAAGUCCUGAUAAAACUUCCCUGGAGAACGUUUUCCAAAUCCAGGAGGGACUUUCUUGUCAGGCCCAGAGAGAAUGAGAGACAGCCAGAUAAAAAGGGCACGAACCCGCAGUGUGAGCAACAAAGACCAAACUCCCGGCCCAUCUCACUCAAGACAAGAUGCAUGAACUCAGCAUCCUGUGAUAAACAGCAGCAGUCAGCCGAUAGUGAUUUAUUAUGUGGAAAGCCAGAGCUUUAUCGGUGUCCCUAUCCCGGCUCCUUUUAAGUCUCCAGCAGAAAUCCCAGCAAGAUAAGAACUGGCUGGGUUUGUAUCUACACAAGGGGGAGUUUGCUGAGAGAUUCCCUGGAGAUGCUGAGUGAAAUGCCUCUCACCUGUCUUGGACACACACCUCUGUCAGCAGCGGUGCAGCACAUUCCAGUGGUAUCUGUCUCCUGCCACUGACUGCAGAGAAAGCCUCAGCGUGUGACACAUAGCUGGAGACAAGCAAAAAGUGACCAUCACUGCAGGGGAACUGCUGCAAGAGAGGGAGCUGCUGUAAGAGGUCUGCUCUGGGCACCCAAAGUCACCUUUGCAGCCCCUUACACCCAGGGCCAGGACAGAAAUGGGUGGGAAGCUGACAAAACUCCCUGCACACACCAUGGCUCUUCAGCAGGGUGGAUCAAGCUGAGAGCAGAGAUUGGUGGAGCUGCACAGAGUGCUGAGAAACCCAAAACUUCUGUCCCCCAGAAGCCAGCAGAGCCAUGAGAUAAAGGGGCUUUUGCAAAGCACUUUGCAGAGUAGGUGAAUCCAUCAUCUCUUCAUUCUGCAGGUGGGGGAAACGAGGCAGGACUUAAAGAAACGACUUGCCAGUGGUUACCUGGCAGAGAAAUGCAUCCAGGUGCCUGCUCAGCACUGGGCCAAGUCACUGCCUUUAUCCCAGCUACUUCCAGCCUUGGGGCUGUGAUGGAGAAAUGCUUAUUGUGCUCAUAGUUUUAAAAAGACUUGGACAAAAGCCAGAUUUUAAUUUUUGAUGGUUUUCCUGGAGAGAAAAAUACCAAUAAAAUUCAAAAAAAAGGCCAAAACAAAGCCAUUGGCUGUUGAAAUCCAAAUGUUUUAAGUUUACUCCCUUUAAACCUCUUUAGAAGUACAUGAAAUGGGAAAAGAAAUUGGCUUUCUUAUGAUCCAAUAAGUCAUAGAAUCAUUAAGGUUGGAAAAGACCUCCAAACUGAUCGAAUCAUAAAAUGGUCCAACAGGAUCCAGUGUCUUGGGGAUGAAACUGGACAGUGGCACCCAUUUCCAAAGUAAGGGCAGUAACAACAACAUCCCCUUAGCAGCUCCGGGGUGGCUUUUCCACUGCCAAAGGCCAGGGAACGAGGGGCUGUGUAGCCAAAGGAGGAGCUGCUGUGGAGAUGUGCAGGGUGUGUAACAGCUGGUGCUUAGAGAGGCUGUUUGGUCUGUGCUGUGAGAAAUGCCAAAUUACACAAUUAAAUCAGUCCCAGUUGGUUUUAAGCCUUAUGGAUCUGUAUUCCCGAGGGUGGACUGAUGGAUUUACUGCUGUCUCACCAGUGCUCAUUACAGGAGUGUUUUGUUCCAAGAUGCUGGAGCAGAGGGGCUGUAAAUCGCACCCCCAUCAGCCCCAGCAGAAGAGGAUCUGAUGCUGUGGAGGGUCCAAAGGGAACAGUGUGGAUGAAGCAGAGGUUUCCCACUGGCUCUGCAGCCUCAGGGGGCUUUGAAAUGAGGAUUUGAGAAGCACUGGGACUUAAGUGAGCCUUCAGCAAUCCCAGGGACAGGGCAGAGCACUCUUCUCCUCUUCUCUUCUCUUCUCUUUUCUCUUCUCUUCUCUUCUCUUC